GCAGCUGUCCGGACCACCAUCCUGUCUGGAGACAAGUCUGAAAAUGUUCAAGAUUUGCUGCUUUUGAUGUCACUCCUCUUUCCCUUGGUAUUGAAACUGCUGGUGGAGUAAUGACUGUCCUCCUCAAGUGUAAUACUACCAUUCCUACCAAGCAGACACAGACCUUCACUAGCUAUUCUGACAACCAGCCUGGUGUGCUUAUUCAGGUUUAUGAAGGUGAGCGUGCCAUGACCAAGGAUAACAACCUGCCUGGCAAGCUUGAACUCACAGGCAUACCUCCUGCACCCCAAUGUGUUCCUCAGAUUGAAGUCACUUUUGACAUUGAUGCCAAUGGCAUCCUCAAUGUGUCUGCUGUGGACAAGAGUACAGGAAAAGAGAACAAGAUUACUAUCACUAAUGACAAGGGCUGUUUGAGCAAGGAAGACAUUGAACGUAUGGUCCAGGAAGCUGAGAAGUACAAAGCUGAAGAUGAGAAGCAGAGGGACAAAGUAUCAUCUAAGAGUUCAACAUGAAAGCAACUGUCAAAGAUGAGAAACUUCAAUGCAAGAUUAACGAUGAGGACAAACAGAAGAUUCUGGACAAGUGUAAUGAAAUUAUCAGCUGGCUCAGUAAGAAUCAGACUGCUGAGAAGGAAGAAUUUGAACAUCAGCAGAAAGAGCUGGAGGAAGUCUGCAACCCCAUCAUCACCAAGCUGUACCAGAGUGCAGGAGGCAUGCCAGGAGGAAUGCCUGGGGAUUCCCUGGUGGUGGAGCUCCUCCCUCUGGUGGUGCUUCCUCAGGGCCCACCAUUGAAGAGGUUGAUUAAGCCAACCCAAGUAUAGAUGUAGCAUUGUUCCACACAUGUAAAACACUGAAGGACCUAAAUUUGUAGCAAAUUCUGUGGCAGUUUUAAAAAGUUCAGCUGCUAUAGUAAGUUACUGGGCAUUCUCAAUACUUGAAUAUGGAACAUAUGCACAUGGGAAGGAAAUAACAUUGCACUUUAUAAACACUGUAUUGUAAGUGGAAAAUGCAAUGUCUUAAAUAAAACUAUUUAAAAUUGGCAC